UACGAAGGGGGCUAGCGUUGCUCGGAAUUACUGGGCGUAAAGCGCACGUAGGCGGCUUUCUAAGUCGGGGUGAAAUCCUGGAGCUCAACUCCAGAACUGCCUUCGAUACUGGAAAGCUCGAGUCCGGGAGAGGUGAGUGGAACUGCGAGUGUAGAGGUGAAAUUCGUAGAUAUUCGCAAGAACACCAGUGGCGAAGGCGGCUCACUGGCCCGGUACUGACGC
rnacentral:rRNA from 1 species